GUGAAUCAUCAAAUUUUUGAACGCAAAUUGCACUCUCCGGUUUUCCGGGAGAGUAUGCCUGUUUGAGGGUCUGUUUAAAAAAUAAUCGAGGCUGCUGCUGUGGUGGCUCUUCGGAAUUGGGUCAUCUUUCACCUUUCGGUUGUAAGCGACCUAAAAUUUUCUUUACGAUUCCACGAACGUUUCCAAGAUUUAUUUCUUUACACGUUUAAGGUAUCGAUUUUAUUAGGCGUGGUCGUCAUAUCGGAUCAUGUCCCUAAUUUUUCGUUAACUGACCUCAGACAGAUAAGAGUACCCGCUGAA
rnacentral:misc_RNA from 1 species